GUAUCACAAAUAGAAAAAUUACAAGAAGUUAUCAUAUAAGUACCUUGUGAAGCAAUUGAUUGCUUGAUUCUCUUAUUCUUAGGCCUGUUUGGGUCAAGAGAAGCUAUAUAAGUCGAAUAAUUCUUUUUUUAAUAAUUCAACUUCUUGUAAAAGAAGCAUUCUGUCUCGCUCUUAUCGACUUUCGAUUUUUUACUCUGCUUUGGCU
rnacentral:lncRNA from 1 species